UGUUCAAUCUGUGUAACAAGCCUGUAUGGCCGAAAGUAGUGCGAGAGGGCUGUUAUUGCUUGUAUUCAAGACAAAUCAAUUCAACAUGAUUAUAACAUUAUGAUAUUAGAUACACAAUGAGAUUUACAUGCUAGAUAAGAUUUUUUAUUUCUAUAACCUGUUUAUCAAGCUUGACGAUUGCUAACUCGUCCAUAACUCAUUAAAAUCGGUACCGCAUCUUUGUGGCAGGUUGAACAAAAAUAAUAAUAAUUAGAGAAAAAGAAACAGAAAAUCUUACUCGAAAUCAAUACGAAAGGAGAUUACUUUGGAUCGGACAUGUUACAGACAUGUUCCCGUAAGCUGGAUAGAAAAACCCAAUUUAAAUUGUGCUGAGCUUUUAGAGAGAGUCAGACUGCGGGAAGCCCAAGACUAGCAUACAGAGAUGUCUGCAAGAGAGAUCUAAGGUCUACAGGCCAAUUAGUUAUAUGACAGAAAUUUUAACUAAAUUGAAAUUGCAACAUUGGCUAUUUCUAAAUGGUUCUACCUUGCUAGGUCUAUUAAGUCAGUUCUAUGACAGAAAUUUUAAUUAAGCUAAUCAGAAUACAAAUCUUAACUUUGCAGAAAGAGCUCUUCAACAAGAAAAUCUUGACAGUUUAGAAACAUUGUUCAACAUUAUUUACUAAACAAGAUUUUACAGAAAAUAAUGUGGACAGCUUAUGAACAAAUAGAAUGGGAAACCUUGGUAUAGAGAUUAUCAAUGAUGAUAAGAUGUUAUAAAAAUAAUACUGUCAUUUCAGUAUAUGUAACACAAUGUUAAAUAUACUCAAUUCUAAUUCUAAAAAAAAAAUACACUUCUCUAAUGUUUCUUAAUCCCCCUCCCAAGACAAAAAAAGACAAAUAUUAUAUAUGAUUAUAAGCUUUUUAAUAACAAGGAAAUAAAAUAUAACAUACUAUUAUACACACAAUAUAUGUUAAAGAAAACGUUUUUAAAGUCCUAAACAUUCAUCCACACAACACACAGCAAUUCAACAUUGGUGCACAUUAACAUAAGGCUGAACUACUUUAAUUUUUUUUAAAAUCACAAAACAGAUUUCUAUCUUCUCAAUAAAGCAGAUAUCCUCAAGAAUCAUUCUUACAGACAAUUCACCAAGUUCAGUCACUGUGAUUACUAAUGUCAGAGAGUACUCUCACAAUAAAAAACUUGUCAAUGAGAUAUUCAAUAAGAUUGCUACAACUUUUUACCAAAAACAUGAUCAAUAAUCAAUCAAAAAUAAGCUAUGCAUCAGCAAAUGCACAAUCUUCAGACAUCAGUCAACAUUCUAACUGUAAGACAAGUAAAUGAAAAUUGCAUUUGUAAUUAAUAUCAAAAAAUCAAUCUUAAAUCUUCUUUAUCUAAUCAUAAACUCACAUGGUUGUUGUUUUUUUGUUUUUUACAUCUUGUCAAUAACUUUUGUAAAAGUAAUAUAACACAAAUUACAAGUUUAGCUUUGUCUUACAAAAUACUGACAUACAAUAGGAUGGUAAAAAAUCCUGACCCUGAAAUAUGAGUUCUGGUCUGUAUGUUUGCAAGAGAUUUUGGGAUGCUUCCAAGUUGACUAUAGACACUUUUCAAUUAAUUAUAAAUUCAAACUAUAAUCUACCACAAUACUUUUUUUUUAAAUUUAUGCUUUCUUAUACACAAUUUUAUUCUAUAAUACUGAUAUAAAAUGUGUGUACCAUAGUCAACAAUUAUUUAUUACACAUACAAUAUGUUUAAAUUUUAGCGGCUAUACAUAUAUAGAACAUCUGUAAACAUGCAGUUUUGAAGAUCAUAUCAUCACCAAUAAUACUAAAACAGAAUAAAAGAAAUAAAAAAAACAGUAAUAGCCUAUUAAUAGCAUUAGUAAUAAUGUAAUAAAACAUCUCUAUAAAAGUCUAUUGUAAGUAAAACACUUAAUAUCAGGCUAACAUUUGUUUCUUUAUUUUUUAUUUCUGCGAAUAUUUUGGCACUGUUUGCCAACUCGAAUUAGUACAAAAAUUAUACUAGAUAACUAUAGACAUUAGCUUUAAUUAUAAAUAAACCACCAUGUAUCAUUUUUUGAAAAUUAAGCAACUACAUCUAAAUCUAGAGCUUAAACUUUGUCAUAGCUUGCUUUUAUAAUUGUAGAGCUUUAUUGCAUUUCGUACAAUUAAUCAAUGAAGCAUUAUUACUUAUGUUCUCUUCAUUUACAAGUAAAGUAGAUCAUUAAUAAAGAAAACAAUUUCUGCAACUCCAUGACAAUACUAUUCUUAAUACCAGGAAACAAAUACAAGGGAAAUAAUCAUGAAAACUUUAAUAUAUCAAAAUAUCAAUUUUUAUUAUAGCCCAUACAUUAUAUUUAUUGUUAGAAUAUUGUUCAUAUUUUAUAAUUGGUGAAGUUAAAAGUGCGAAUGGCUAAAUGUACUGCAAACAGCAAAUGUACAUUGGUAAUAUGUAAUGUCCUAAUAUCCAUUUAUUUUUUCAUUGAGCUUAUAACAGGAUUAUAAUGAUUAUAUUAAUAGUCUCAUUGUAUUCUGAUGUAUUUGAUUUCAGAUUAUUUUGUAAAUGUUUGUAUAUAGUGUUGUCUACAGACAUUAGUAGUAUUAUAGCAGCAAACUAUGUUAGCCUAUAUUGACAUAUACAAUGGUUGAAACUUAAGUCUAUGAGACAUCAUCAACAGUUGUUGUUUUUUUCUAAUAGAAUAAAAAACCUACAGUAAGUACAAUCCCACCAUGUUAGUCUAAAGUUCUAUUAUCUCGCAUUGGAAGCAGCAAGCAUUCUUUCUUGUCUGUCUUGUUCUUUAACUUGCUCCUGAGCUUCCUUCUGCAUUUUCUCCAUUUUCUCUAGAGUUACAGAUUUCAAAGGAAGAAUUUUAGGCUUGCACAGAACAAUGGUAGAUGAGUCUUCUUGAUAAAUCUGACCAGUUUUAGGCAACCACUCUGCAAAUUUAUCUUGUGACAUUUUUGAAAAAUC